rnacentral:rRNA from 1 species
ACUCCUACGGGAGGCAGCAGUGGGGAAUAUUGCACAAUGGGCGCAAGCCUGAUGCAGCCAUGCCGCGUGUAUGAAGAAGGCCUUCGGGUUGUAAAGUACUUUCAGCAGUGAGGAAGGUGGGUAUGUUAAUAGCAUACACAUUUGACGUUAGCUGCAGAAGAAACCCCGGCUAACUCCGUGCCAGCAGCCGCGGUAAUACGGAGGGGGUUAGCGUUGUUCGGAAUUACUGGGCGUAAAGCGCACGUAGGCGGAUCGGAAAGUUGGGGUGAAAUCCCGGGCUCAACCCGGAACGGCUCCAAAACUAUCGGUCUAGAGUUCGAGAGAGGUGAGUGGAAUUCCGAGUGUAGAGGUGAAAUUCGUAGAUAUUCGGAGGAACACCAGUGGCGAAGGCGGCUCACUGGCUCGAUACUGACGCUGAGGUGCGAAAGUGUGGGAGCAAACAGGAUUAGAUACCCUGGUAGACUGUCAU